GGGCGUGUGGUCUAGUGGUAUGAUUCUCGCUUUGGGUGACAACUUAUCCAGUUGACGACAAAUUUGUGAGAGGCCCUGGGUUCAAUUCCCAGCUCGCCCC